CUACUGGGGUAUCUAAUCCUGUUUGCUCCCCACGCUUUCGCGCCUCAGCGUCAGAACCGGACCAGAGAGCCGCUUUCGCCACCGGUGUUCCACCCAAUAUCUACGAAUUUCACCUCUACACUGGGUAUUCCACCCUCCUCUUCCGGCCUCCAGCCCAUGUGUUUCGGCCGCACCUCCGGGGUUGAGCCCCGGGCUUUCACGAGCCGACUGCAUGGGCCGCCUACGCGCCCUUUACGCCCAGUGAUUCCGAACAACGCUAGCACCCUCCGUCUUACCGCGGCUGCUGGCAC
rnacentral:rRNA from 1 species